GCCUGAGUGGCUCAGUCGGUUAAGCGUCUGACUUCGGCUCAGGUCAUGAUUUCAAAGGUUGUGAGUUUGAGCCCCGCGUCGGGCU
rnacentral:tRNA from 1 species